GGAGGCCUCAGUCCGUCUUGCCAACCCAUCAAGACACCUUCCAGACUCAGCUUCAAUGCAGCCUUUCCUGAAAAACUCCUCUGACGCUUGUGCCCUCCUGAUGGCUGCUGGUUUGUUGUGUAUGGUUUCUGUGGAUGCUCUUUUCAAGCUGGAUGGUGAUUCUGACAUGCAAACAAGCUGCUGGGCCCAAGUUCUUGUGUCCAAGGAUUUAAAAAAAUAGAGCAUGAGUCUGAGGCUUUGAACGAGGCUCCUCCUGCUCUCUGGAACUUUCUGGAAGGAAACACAGCCCAAGAAGUGGACUAAAGAGUUGUUCCAGCACCACUGUCUACAAGAUGAACUGCUUCCAAAUGAUGAUAGAGGAGAAACUUUCAAGUAAAUGGACCUGCCAUCAUCACACACGCUUUUUCUCAUAUUACAUUUUACCUGCAGUUUGUAAAUAUUACAAAAAAUCAAUAAUGCUGCCAUAUUGCUGUAAUCUAAUUUGUCUUUUCUGAUUGUGUGAAGCUGGAGGACGCAUUUGGUAUCACAUUUUCAGACCUCAGAGAGCAAUGUUAAACAUUUAUAGUACACUUAAUCAUCUGUCAGAAAUGUACAAAGGCAUAAUGUCUCAUUAAUAAUUAUUAAAUCAUUGAGUCGCACAGAAGGAGAUGUUCCCCUCUUUACUUACAUAAUGACCAGCAACCACUAAAACGUGGGUCAUUUGUGAUGCACAGCCAGCACAUCUAAUAGUGGAAAUCUGCUUGAGGAAAUUAAUAAGAAAUCAUAUUCAGAGAUAGGCUUUUAGACAGGAAGAAAACAUGCAUAUGGAUUGCUGCAGUAUUCAGCCAGGGCAUAUAGAUGCUCCCUCCCUGAUCAGAGUCAGGUUAAAAUUCAGCCAGAUAAUUGCUGAGAGUGAAGAGACAUGAAAGAAAAUGAUCUUAUUUGCUUUCGGAGGCUAGAUAACUCAUUUCAAUAUGCCCAGCUUUGGGCUUUUAUUCAUAAGUAUAUGUAUCAUUUUGUGAAUAAAAGAGAUACAUAUUUUGAUUUGGAAUGAGGU
rnacentral:lncRNA from 13 species